rnacentral:rRNA from 1 species
UACGUAGGGGGCUAGCGUUGCUCGGAAUUACUGGGCGUAAAGCGCACGUAGGCGGCUUCUUAAGUCGGUGGUGAAAUCCUGGAGCUCAACUCCAGAACUGCCUUCGAUACUGGACAUCUUGAGUACGGGAGAGGUGAGUGGAACUCCGAGUGUAGAGGUGAAAUUCGUAGAUAUUCGGAAGAACACCAGUGGCGAAGGCGACUCACUGGCCCGUUACUGACGCUGAGGCGCGAAAGCGUGGGGAGCAAACAGG